rnacentral:rRNA from 1 species
CCUACGGGAGGCUGCAGUGGGGAAUAUUGCACAAUGGGGGGAACCCUGAUGCAGCAACGCCGCGUGGGUGAAGAAGUACUUCGGUAUGUAAAGCCCUGUCAGCAGGGAAGAAAAUGACGGUACCUGACCAAGAAGCCCCGGCUAACUACGUGCCAGCAGCCGCGGUAAUACGUAGGGGGCAAGCGUUAUCCGGAUUUACUGGGUGUAAAGGGAGCGUAGACGGCAAGGCAAGUCUGGAGUGAAAGCCCGGGGCUCAACCACGGGACUGCUUUGGAAACUGGGUUGCUGGAGUGCAGGAGGGGUAAGCGGAAUUCCUGGUGUAGCGGUGAAAUGCGUAGAUAUUAGGAGGAACACCGGUGGCGAAGGCGGCUUACUGGACUGUAACUGACGUUGAGGCUCGAAGGCGUGGGGAGCAAACAGGAUUAGAUACCCGGGUAGUC